GUUGUAUGGUUAAGUGACUAAGCGUACACGGUGGAUGCCUUGGCAGUCAGAGGCGAUGAAGGACGUAUUAACUUGCGAUAAGCCCAGAUUAGGCAGUAAAAGCCACUUGAGUCUGGGAUUUCCGAAUGGGGAAACCCACUUGCAUAAGCAAGUAUCAUUAACUGAAUACAUAGGUUAAUGAAGCGAACCGGGGGAACUGAAACAUCUAAGUACCCCGAGGAAGAGAAAUCAACCGAGAUUCCGGUAGUAGCGGCGAGCGAAACCGGAUUAGCCCUUA
rnacentral:rRNA from 1 species